rnacentral:misc_RNA from 1 species
GUUGAUUAUGGUGUCGAUUAGAUACAUAUUGGUAUUAGGUUUUGUAUUUGCAGCGUUUGGAUAUACGAAUUCCGAAUCGGUUUCUCCAAUUCAGUCUUAUAAUUUUCUGUAUGAUCUGAAAUUUCAAUGCCCUUUUCGGAUCUCUGUUCCAUCUUCUAAGAUUCUUGAGACGGAUGGAGAAUCACUCGACAAGGCUCUAAGGUCCAGUCAGAAAGAUGAGGUUACUGCUAUUCUGUUUUACGCCUCGUGGUGUCCUUUCUCGACAGAUGUUAAAUUAAAGUUUGGUGCUCUGAGUUCCAUGUUCCCGCAAAUCAGACAUGUGAUGGUUGAGCAAUCAAAAGCGACACCUAGUGUCUUCUCAAGAUAUGGAGUUCACAGCUUUCCAUCAAUAUUGAUUGUGACUCAGACAUCAAGAGUGCGAUAUCACGGCCAGAAAGAUCUUCCCUCCCUUGUGAACUUCUACAAGAGGACUACAGGGCUUCAUCCUAUGGUUGAAGUGACCGAAAGUCAAAUUACCUACAAGGCAGAUGGUCGCAAAGCUUUUCAGAAAUGGAAAGGGUCCUCUUUGAAGGAACUAUCCUCGACUGAACCUUACCUUGCAUUAUCGGUUGCAUUCCUAUUGUUUAGGGCUUCCCUAUAUUUCUUCCCUGGGUUGGUAACUCGUGUAGUAGCAUUAUGGGCUGCAUAUAUUCCUCAUCUAAACAUGGGGAUCUUCGGAGAUUCAAGGCAGAUUCUGGGGCGCGUCUUCCACGUAAUUGAUCCCAAGAGGGCUUGGAGCAAGCUAAAGCUAUGCAAAACGAGAAACUUCCAUAAAGGUGCUAGGAAUGCUCGAGUUUGGGCUUCGUCCUUGACAUCAGUUUCACUGGGAGAGACAUCAGCAGCAAGAAUAGCCCCCUCAGGAGACUUGUAAGCUACUACUCGUGGUCUCUCGCAUCAGAUUGUCACUAAAACGAACAAGUUAGAACUCAGAGUCUGGUUUCUACAGCAAGUAGAAUCGUCUUACUUCUUCAUUCCCUGUUAUUUCUUCCCCCUCGGGUUAGCUGUUCUUGCCCGGUGUUGUAUCUUACCUUUUUUCAGAAAAUUUAAAUAUUACUCAAGAGACCAGAAGAUCUUGUGCUUUUAGAGUUUAGGUGGAAAUAUGAACAGCUUUCUUGUAAAUUUUGAGAACAGAAGGUUUCUAUGUAUAUUACAUGAUGACAAGAGGGAGACUUUGUAACACUGCAUUGUGU